rnacentral:ncRNA from 2 species
GAAAAUACAAUGGGGAGCGCGUGAGCGCUGAGAGGAAGUUCGGCUUCGACCCAGAAACCUGAUGCGGAUCAUGCCGCCGUAGGGAUGUGGACGUACUCUUGUG